AGCAGCCGCGGUAAUUCCAGCUCCAAUAGCGUAUAUUAAAGUUGCUGCAGUUAAAAAGCUCGUAGUUGAAUUUCGGGACCAAUAUGUCGGUCGUGCCUCGGUACGUACUGGCAUCGUUGGUUUCUCCCUUCUGACGAACCAUGAUGUCAUUUAUUUGGUGUCGUGGGGAAUCAGGACUGUUACUUUGAAAAAAUUAGAGUGUUUAAAGCAGGCUCACGCUUGAAUACAUUAGCAUGGAAUAAUGAAAUAGGACGUUUGAUUCUAUUUUGUUGGUUUCUAGGAUCGACGUAAUGAUUAAUAGGGAUAGUUGGGGGCAUUAGUAUUCAAUUGUCAGAGGUGAAAUUCUUGGAUUUAUUGAAGACUAACUACUGCGAAAGCAUUUGCCAAGGAUGUUUUCAUUAAUCAAGAACGAAAGUUAGGGGAUCGAAGACGAUCAGAUACCGUCGUAGUCUUAACCAUAAACUAUGCCGACUAGGGAUCGGAUGAUGUUAAUUUUUUAAUGACUCA
rnacentral:rRNA from 2 species